GAUUAAGAACGCAGCGAAAUGCGAUAAGUAAUGUGAAUUGCAGAAUUCAGUGAAUCAUCGAAUCUUUGAACGCACAUUGCGCCCGCCAGUAUUCUGGCGGGCAUGCCUGUCUGAGCGUCAUUUCAACCCUCAUGCCCCUAGGGCGUGGUGUUGGGGAUCGGCCAAAGCCCGCGAGGGACGGCCGGCCCCUAAAUCUAGUGGCGGACCCGUCGUGGCCUCCUCUGCGAAGUAGUGAUAUUCCGCAUCGGAGAGCGAUGAGCCCCUGCCGUUAAACCCCCAACUUUCCAAGGUUGACCUCAGAUCAGGUAGGAAUACCCGCUGAACUUAAGCAUAUCAAUAAGCGGAGGA
rnacentral:misc_RNA from 1 species